GUAGGGAAUAUUGGACAAUGGGCGAAAGCCUGAUCCAGCAAUGCCGCGUGAGUGAAGAAGGCCUUAGGGUUGUAAAGCUCUUUCGGCGGGGAAGAUGAUGACGGUACCCGCAGAAGAAGCCCCGGCUAACUUCGUGCCAGCAGCCGCGGUAAUACGAAGGGGGCUAGCGUUGUUCGGAAUCACUGGGCGUAAAGGGCGCGUAGGCGGCUUGGCAAGUCAGGUGUGAAAGGCCUGGGCUCAACCCAGGAACUGCACUUGAGACUGCCUCGCUUGAGUCCGGGAGAGGAUGGCGGAAUUCCCAGUGUAGAGGUGAAAUUCGUAGAUAUUGGGAAGAACACCGGUGGCGAAGGCGGCCAUCUGGACCGGUACUGACGCUGAGGCGCGAAAGCGUGGGGAGCAAACAGGAUUAGAAACCCGAGUAGUCC
rnacentral:rRNA from 1 species